UACGAAGGGGGCUAGCGUUGUUCGGAUUUACUGGGCGUAAAGCGCACGUAGGCGGAUCGUUAAGUCGGGGGUGAAAUCCUGGAGCUCAACUCCAGAACUGCCUUCGAUACUGGCGAUCUUGAGUCCGGAAGAGGUGAGUGGAACUCCUAGUGUAGAGGUGGAAUUCGUAGAUAUUAGGAAGAACACCAGUGGCGAAGGCGGCUCACUGGUCCGGUACUGACGCUGAGGUGCGAAAGCGUGGGUAGCAAACAGG
rnacentral:rRNA from 1 species